rnacentral:misc_RNA from 1 species
UGUGCCUAUAGCAUUUUGGUGUUAUCACUUGGGUUCCUGUGUUGCCUACUGUUGAAAUAGUAAUUAUUGUGGCUUAGAAUAUAUGUUCCAUUCGGAUCUCUUUAUGGGGAUGAUGGUGGAUUUUGAUGCAAUGCAUGCAUUCCAUCUUAGGUUUGCAUUGUGCACAGCUUUUGUGGUAUGCAUGUAGUUGUUGUUCUUUUGGAUACAGUGCAUGCAAUGAACGUGGCUUGAAUUGUCCCGUUUAGUUCUUCAAUUUAUGGUUGCCUUGGAGGACUUUUGCCUUGGUGCUUGUUUUAUUUUUCGUUUGCGAAGAUAAUGCUUGUACCAUGGGCUUGGUCAUCGAUGGGUGC